UACGGAGGGUGCAAGCGUUAUCCGGAUUCACUGGGUUUAAAGGGUGCGUAGGAGGGCAGGUAAGUCAGUGGUGAAAAUCCUAGAGCUUAACUCUAGAACUGCCGUUGAUACUAUCUGUCUUGAAUAUUGUGGAGGUGAGCGGAAUAUGUCAUGUAGCGGUGAAAAUGCUUUAGAUAUGACAUAGAAACACCAAUUUGCGAAAGGCAGCUCGCUACACAUAUA
rnacentral:rRNA from 1 species